rnacentral:rRNA from 1 species
AACGAACGUUGGCGGCGUGGAUUAGGCAUGCAAGUCGAACGAAUCCCGGGGGGCAACUCCCGGGGGAAGUGGCGAAAGGGGCAGUAAAGCGUGGGUAACCUACCCCGGGGAUCGGGAUAGCCUUCCUAACGGAGGGGUAAUACCGGGCGAUGCGGUCUGGUCGCAUGAUCGGACCGUGAAAUGAAUUUCGCCUCGGGAGGGGCUCACGUGGUAUUAGCUAGUUGGUGAGGUAACGGCUCACCAAGGCUUAGAUGCCUAGCAGGCGUGAGAGCGUGACCUGCGCCACUGGCACUGAGACACUGGCCAGACUCCUACGGGAGGCUGCAGUCGAGGAUCUUCGGCAAUGGGCGCAAGCCUGACCGAGCGACGCCGCGUGUGCGAUGAAGGCCUUCGGGUUGUAAAGCACUGUCGAGGGAGAGGAAGCCGCAAGGUUGACCGACCCCUGGAGGAAGCACGGGCUAAGUUCGUGCCAGCAGCCGCCGUAAAAC